AAUACAUCAUUUCGUAACUAACUCAUUAGUUACAAUGCUUGCAAGGCUUAAGUGAUGUGUAUUACCGAGAGGGCCCAGAGAUACCUCUCCGACAAUCGGAGUGACAAAACCUAAUCUUGAAUUAUGCCAACUCAACAUGUACCUUUGGAGACACCUGUAGAGCACCUUUAUAAUCACCCAAUUACGUUGUGAUGUUUGGUAGCACACAAAGUGUUCCUCCGGUAAACGGGAGUUGCACAAUCUCAUAGUUGUAGGAACUUUGUAUAAGUCAUGAAGAAAGCAAUAGCAACAUACUAAACGAUCAAGUGCUAGGCUAACAGAAUGGGUCAAGUCAAUCACAUCAUUCUCCUAAUGAUGUGAUCCCGUUAAUCAAAUGACAACUCUUUUGUCCAUGGCUAGGAAACAUAACCAUCUUUGAUAAACGAGCUAGUCAAGUAGAGGCAUACUAGUGACACUAUGUUUGUCUAUGUAUUCACACAUGUAUUAUGUUUCCGGUUAAUACAAUUCUAGCAUGAAUAAUAAACAUUUAUCAUGAUAUGAGGAAAUAAAUAAUAACUUUAUUAUUGCCUCUAGGGCAUAUUUCCUUCAGUCUCCCACUUGCACUAGAGUCAAUAAUCUAGAUUACAUAGUAAUGAUUCUAACACCCAUGGAGUCUUGGUGUUGAUCAUGUUUUGCUCGUGAGAGAGGCUUAGUCAACGGGUCUGCAACAUUCAGAUCCGUAUGUAUCUUGCAAAUUUCGAUGUCUCCCACUUGGACUUGGUCCCGGAUGGAAUUGAAGCGUCUCUUGAUGUGCUUGGUCCUCUUGUGAAAUCUGGAUUCCUUUGCCAAGGCAAUUGCACCAGUAUUGUCACAGAAGAUCUUCAUUGGUCCCGAUGCACUAGGUAUAACACCUAGAUCGGAAAUGAACUCCUUCAUCCAGACUCCUUCAUUUGCUGCUUCUGAAGCAGCUAUGUACUCUGCUUCACAUGUAGAUCCCGCCACGACGCUUUGUUUAGAACUGCACCAACUUACAGCUCCACCGUUUAAUAAAAAUACGUAUCCGGUUUGCGAUUUAGAAUCAUCCGGAUCAGUGUCAAAGCUUGCAUCGACGUAACCAUUUACGACUAGCUCUUUGUCACCUCCAUAUACGAGAAACAUAUCCUUAGUCCUUUUCAGGUAUUUCAGGAUGUUCUUGACCGCUGUCCAGUGAUCCACUCCUGGAUUACUUUGGUACCUCCCUGCCAAACUAAUAGCAAGGCACACAUCAGGUCUGGUACACAUCAUUGCAUACAUGAUAGAGCCUAUGGCUAAAGCAUAGGGAACUCCUUUCAUUUUCUCUCUAUCUUCUACAGUGGACGGGCAUUGAGUCUGACUCAAUUUUAUACCUUGUAAUACAGGCAAGAACCCUUUCUUUGCCUGAUCCAUAUUGAACCUUUUCAACACUUUAUCAAGGUACGUGCAUUGUGAAAGUCCAAUCAAGCGUCUUGAUCUAUCUCUAUAGAUCUUGAUGCCUAAUAUGUAAGCAGCUUCACCGAGGUCUUUCAUUGAAAAACUUUUAUUCAAGUAUCCUUUUAUGCUAUCCAGAAAUUCUAUAUCAUUUCCAAUCAACAAUAUGUCGUCCACAUAUAAUAUUAGAAAUGCUACAGAGCUCCCACUCACUUUCUUGUAAAUACACGCUUCUCCAAAAGUCUGUAUAAAACCAUAUGAUUUGAUCACACUGUCAAAGCAUUUAUUCCAACUCCGAGAGGCUUGCACCAGACCAUAGAUUGAUCGCUGGAGCUUGCACACUUUGUUAGCUCCCUAAGGAUCGACAAAACCUUCCGGUUGCAUCAUAUACAAAUCUUCUUCCAGAAAUCCAUUCAGGAAUGCAGUUUUUACAUCCAUCUGCCAUAUUUCAUAGUCAUAAAAUGCGGCAAUCGCUAACAUGAUUCGGACAGACUUAAGCAUCGCUACGGGUGAGAAGGUCUCAUCGUAGUCAACCCCUUGAUCUUGUCGAAAACCUUUCGCAACAAGUCGAGCUUUAUAGACAGUUACAUUACCGUCAGCGUCAGUCUUCUUCUUAAAGAUCCAUUUAUUCUCAAUGGCCUGCCGAUCAUUGGGCAAGUCAACCGAAGUCCAUACUUUGUUCUCAUACAUGGAUCCCAUCUCAGAUUUCAUGGCUUCUAGCCAUUUUGCGGAAUCUGGGCUCAUCAUCGCUUCCUCAUAGUUUGUAGGUUCAUCAUGGUCAAGUAACAUGACUUCCAGAAUAGGAUUACCGUACCACUCUGGUGCGGAUUUUAUUCUGGUAGACCUACGAGGUUCAGUAGAAACUUGAUCUGAAGUUUCAUGAUCAAUAUCAUUAACUUCCUCACUACUUGGUGUAGGUGUCACAAGAACCGAUUGUGAUGAACUACUUUCCAAUAAGGGAGUAGAUACAGUUAUCUCAUCAAGUUCUACUUUCCUCCCACUCACUUCUUUCGAGAGAAACUCCUUCUCUAGAAAGGAUCCAUUCUUAGCAACGAAUGUCUUGCCUUCGGGUCUGUGAUAGAAGGUGUACCCAACUGUCUCCUUUGGGUAUCCUAUGAAGACACAUUUCUCCGAUUUAGGUUCGAGCUUAUCUGGUUGAAGUUUCUUCACAUAAGCAUCGCAGCCCCAAACUUUAAGAAACGACAACUUUGGUUUCUUGCCAAACCACAGUUCAUAAGGCGUCGUCUCAACGGAUUUUGAUGGUGCCCUAUUCAAUGUGAAUGCGGCCGUCUCUGAAGCAUAACCCCAAAAUGAUAGCGGUAAAUCUGUAAGAGACAUCAUAGAUCGCACCAUAUCUAGUAAAGUACGAUUACGACGUUCGGACACACCAUUUCAUUGUGGUGUUCCGGGUGGCGUGAGUUGCGAAACUAUUCCGCAUUGUUUCAAAUGUAAACCAAACUCAUAACUCAAAUAUUCUCCUCCACGAUCAGAUCGUAGAAACUUUAUUUUCUUGUUAUGAUGAUUUUCCACUUCACUCUGAAAUUCUUUGAACUUUUCAAAUGUUUUAGACUUGUGUUUCAUUAAGUAGAUAUACCCAUAUCUGCUCAAAUCAUCUGUGAAGGUGAGAAAAUAACGAUAUCCACCACGAGCUUCAACAUUCAUCGGACCACAUACAUCUGUAUGUAUGAUUUCCAACAAAUCUGUUGCUCUCUCCAUAGUACCAGAGAACGGUGUUUUAGUCAUCUUGCCCAUGAGGCACGGUUCGCAAGUACCAAGUGAUUCAUAAUCAAGUGAUUCCAAAAGUCCAUCAGUAUGGAGUUUCUUCAUGCGCUUUACACCGAUAUGACCUAAACGGCAGUGCCACAAAUAAGUUGCAUUAUCAUUAUCAACUCUGCAUCUUUUGGCUUCGACAUUAUGAAUAUGUGUAUCACUACUAUCGAGAUUCAAUAAAAAUAGACCACUCUUCAAGGGUGCAUGACCAUAAAAGAUAUUACUCAUAUAAAUAGAACAACCAUUAUUCUCUGAUUUAAAUGAAUAACCGUCUCGCAUCAAACAAGAUCCAAAUAUAAUGUUCAUGCUCAACGCUGGCACCAAAUAACAAUUAUUCAGGUCUAAAACUAAUCCCGAAGGUAGAUGUAGAGGUAGCGUGCCGACCGCGAUCACAUCGACUUUGGAACCGUUUCCCACGCGCAUUGUCACCUUGUCCUUGGCCAGUGCUCGCUUAUUCCGUAGUCCCUGUUUCGAGUUGCAAAUAUUAGCAACAAAACCAGUAUCAAAUACCCAGGUGCUACUACGAGCUCUAGUAAGGUACACAUCAAUAACAUGUAUAUCACAUAUACCUUUGUUCACCUUGCCAUCCUUCUUAUCCGCCAAAUACUUGGGGCAGUUCCGCUUCCAGUGACCAGUCUGCUUGCAGUAGAAGCACUCAGUCUCAGGCUUAGGUCCAGACUUGGGUUUCUUCUCUUGAGCAGCAACUUGUUUGAUGUUCUUCUUGAAGUUCCCCUUCUUCUUCCCUUUGCCCUUUUUCUUGAAACUGGUGGUCUUAUUAACCAUCAACACUUGAUGCUCCUUCUUGAUUUCUACCUCCGCAGCCUUUAGCAUUGCGAAGAGCUCGGGAAUUGUCUUGUUCAUCCCUUGCAUAUUAUAGUUCAUCACGAAGCUCUUGUAGCUUGGUGGCAGUGAUUGGAGAAUUCUAUCAAUGAUGCUAUCAUCCGGAAGAUUAACUCCCAGUUCAAUCAAGUGAUUAUUAUACCCAGACAUUUUGAGUAUAUGCUCACUGACAGAACUAUUCUCCUCCAUCUUGCAGCUGUAGAACUUAUUGGAGACUUCAUAUCUCUCAAUCCGGGCAUUUGCUUGAAAUAUUAACUUCAACUCCUGGAACAUCUCAUAUGCUCCAUGACGUUCAAAACAUCGUUGAGGACCCGGUUCUAAGCCGUAAAGCAUGGCACACUGAACUAUAGAGUAGUCAUCAGCUUUGCUCUGCCAGACGUUCACAACAUCUGACAUUGCUCCUGUAGCAGGCCUGGCACCCAGCGGUGCUUCCAGGAUGUAAUUCUUCUGUGCAGCAAUGAGGAUAAUCCUCAAGUUACGGACCCAGUCUGUGUAAUUGCUACCAUCAUCUUUCAACUUUGCUUUCUCAAGGAACACAUUAAAAUUCAACGGAACAACAGCACGAGCCAUCUAUCUACAACAUACAUAGACAAGCGAAAUACUAUCAGGUACUAAGUUCAUGAUAAAUUUAAGUUUAAUUAAUCAUAUUACUUAAGAACUCCCACUUAGACAGACAUCUCUCUAGUCAUCUAAGUGAUCACGUGAUCCGAAUCAACUAAACCAUAACCGAUCAUCACGUGAGAUGGAGUAGUUUUCAAUGGUGAACAUCACUAUGUUGAUCAUAUCUACUAUAUGAUUCAUGCUCGACCUUUCGGUCUCCGUGUUCCGAGGCCAUAUCUGCAUAUGCUAGGCUCGUCAAGUUUAACCUGAGUAUUCUGCGUGUGCAAAACUGGCUUGCACCCGUUGUAGAUGGACGUAGAGCUUAUCACACCCGAUCAUCACGUGGUGUCUGGGCACGACGAACUUUGGCAACAGUGCAUACUCAGGGAGAACACUUCUUGAUAAUUUUUAGUGAGAGAUCAUCUUAAAGUGCUACCGUCAAUCAAAGCAAGAUAAGAUGCAUAAAGGAUAAACAUCACAUGCAAUCAAUAUAAGUGAUAUGAUAUGGCCAUCAUCAUCUUGUGCUUGUGAUCUCCAUCUCUGAAGCACCAUCGUGAUCACCAUCGUCACCGGCGCGACACCUUGAUCUCCAUCGUAGCAUCAUUGUCAUUUACACCAUCUAUUGCUUCUAUGACUAUCGCUACCGCUUAGUGAUAAAGUAAAGCAAUUACAGGGCGUUUGCAUUUCAUACAAUAAAGCGACAACCAUAUGGCUCCUGCCAGUUGCCGAUAACUUUGGUUACAAAACAUGAUCAUCUCAUACAAUAAAAUAUAGCAUCACGUCUUGACCAUAUCACAUCACAACAUGCCUUGCAAAAACAAGUUAGACGUCCUCUACUUUGUUGUUGCAAGUUUUACAUGGCUGCUACAGGCUUAGCAAGAACCGUUCUUACCUACGCAUCAAAACCACAACGAUAGUUCGUCAAGUUAGUGCUGUUUUAACCUUCGCAAGGACCGGGCGUAGCCACACUCGAUUCAGCUAAAGUGAGAGAGACAGACACCCGCCAGCCACCUUUAAGCAUGAGUGCUCGUAACGGUGAAACAAGUCUCGCGUAAGCGUACGCGUAAUGUCGGUCCGGGCCGCUUCAUUUCACAAUACCGUCGAACCAAAGUAUGACAUGCUGGUAAGCAGUAUGACUUGUAUCACCCACAACUCACUUGUGUUCUACUCGCGUAUAUAACAUCAACGCAUAAAACCUAGGCUCUGAUACCACUGUUGGGGAACGUAGUAAUUUCAAAAAAAAUCCUACGCACACGCAAGAUCAUGGUGAUGACAUAGCAACGAGAGGGGAGAGUGUUGUCGACGUACCCUCGUAGACCGUAAGCGGAAGCGUUAUAACAACGCGGUUGAUGUAGUCAUACGUCUUCAUGAUCCGACCGAUCCAAGCACCGAACGUACGGCACCUCCGUGUUCAGCACACGUUCAGCUCGAUGACGUUCCCCGGGCUCCAAUCUAGUAGAGCGUCGGGGAUGAGUUCCGUCAGCACGACGGCGUGGUGACGAUGAUGAUGUUCUACCGGCGCAGGGCUUCGCCUAAACUCUGCGAUGAUAUGACCGAGGUGGAAUAUGGUGGAGGGGGCACCGCACACGGCUAAGGAAUGGUCCGUAGAUCAACUUGUGUGUCUAUGGGGUGCCCCCCUGCCCCCGUAUAUAAAGGAGCAAGGGGGGAGGCCGGCCGGCCCUAGAGGGUGCGCCAAGGAGGAGGAGUCCUCCUCCUAGUAGGAGUAGGACUCCCCCUUUCUUACUCCUACUAGGAGGGGGAAAGGAAGGGGGAGAGGGAGAAGGAAAGGGGGGCGCCGCCCCCCCUAGUCCAAUUUGGACCAGAGAAGGAGGGGGCGCGCGGCCCAUGCUGGCCGCCCCUCUCUCUCUCCACUAAGGCCCAUAAGGCCUAUUACUUCUCCCGGGGGGGGGGGUCGGGUAACCCUCUGGCACUCCGGUUUUCUCCAAAAACGCCCAGAACAUUUCCGGUGUCCGAAUAUAGCCGUCCAAUAUAUCAAUAUUUAUGUCUCGACCAUUUCGAGACUCCUUGUCAUGUCCGUGAUCACAUCCGGGACUCAGAACAAACUUCGGUACAUCAAAACUUAGAAACUCAUAAUGAAACUGUCAUCGUAACGUUAAGCAUGCGAACCCUACGGGUUCGAGAACUAUGUGGACAUGACCUAGAACUGUUUCUGAUCAAUAACCAAUAGUGGAACCUGGAUGUUCAUAUUGGUUCCUACAUAUUCUACGAAGAUCUUUAUCGGUCAAACCGCAUAACAACAUACGUUGUUCCCUUUGUCACGGUAUGUUACUUGCCCGAGAUUCGAUCGUCGGUAUCCAAUACCUAGUUUAAUCUCAUUACCGGCAAGUCUCUUUACUCGUUCCGUAAUACAUCAUUUCGUAACUAACUCAUUAGUUACAAUGCUUGCAAGGCUUAAGUGAUGUGUAUUACCGAGAGGGCCCAGAGAUACCUCUCCGACAAUCGGAGUGACAAAACCUAAUCUUGAAUUAUGCCAACUCAACAUGUACCUUUGGAGACACCUGUAGAGCACCUUUAUAAUCACCCAGUUAUGUUGUGAUGUUUGGUAGCACACAAAGUGUUCCUCCGGUAAACGGGAGUUGCACAAUCUCAUAGUUGUAGGAACUUUGUAUAAGUCAUGAAGAAAGCAAUAGCAACAUACUAAACGAUCAAGUGCUAGGCUAACAGAA
rnacentral:lncRNA from 1 species